rnacentral:tRNA from 1 species
UGGGCCGUCGCCAAGCGGUAAGGCACCGGAUUUUGAUUCCGGUAUACCUAGGUUCGAAUCCUAGCGGCCCAGCCA